AGUGAACGCUGGCGGUAGGCCUAACACAUGCAAGUCGAACGGCAGCACAGUAAGAGCUUGCUCUUACGGGUGGCGAGUGGCGGACGGGUGAGGAAUACAUCGGAAUCUACCUUUUUGUGGGGGAUAACGUAGGGAAACUUACGCUAAUACCGCAUACGACCUACGGGUGAAAGCAGGGGAUCUUCGGACCUUGCGCGAUUGAAUGAGCCGAUGUCGGAUUAGCUAGUUGGCGGGGUAAAGGCCCACCAAGGCGACGAUCCGUAGCUGGUCUGAGAGGAUGAUCGGCAACACUGGAACUGAGCAACGGCCCCAACCCCUACGGGAGGCAGCAGUGGGAAAUAUUGGACAUGGGCGCAAGCCUGAUCCAGCCAUACCGCGUGGGUGAAGAAGGCCUUCGGGUUGUAAAGCCCUUUUGUUGGGAAAGAAAAGCAGCAGGUUAAUACCCCGCUGUUCUGACGGUACCCAAAGAAUAAGCACCGGCUAACUUCGUG
rnacentral:rRNA from 1 species